AGCAGGGUUCAGACAAGCAGAGGUGAGUGGCUGUCGUCCUUUGGGUGGCAUGCCAAAGAGGCUGUUUGCUGAACCACAGACUGGACCAUUUGGCUUGGCAGCAAAGGGCAGCAGAUGAAGAAGAGGCACAUCUGAGACAUCAUUGUUGGCACGAGUCAUUAUCAGUGUUCAUGUCACGGCCGGGAGGCCCCUUACGCAGCGCGCUCCUCGUUAGUAUAGUGAGGCUGAGGGGUCCCCACGUAGCCAACUGCUGCCCCCCGGAAGCGUUUCCUAUUGCAGUUGGGGAUCUCGGCCCAUUGAGCUUCAGACAGGAGUUACAAGCUGUCCCCUCCACCUGGGGACCACCCCUGAAGGGAGCUUACCAGAUGCUACUUCAUGAGGCACAGAAGCCUGGACAUGGAAGUUAUGGCUCAGAGAGGUCAGCCUACCAUUCCAUAUACAUUUCCCUGAUCCAUUUUUAC